CUUAAGGAUGGCUCUUUCGCUUCCUCUUUUCCUUCCCUGGCAAAUCUCCUAUCCUUGCAAAAUUUCUUCUUUUCCUCUUCUUCCUCCCCUCGCCACUGGUAGAAUUCUUCUUUUGUUUUUUCAAUUUUUCUUAAUACCUUGAUUUUUUGUCCCGACUCUUCCUACUACUUGCCAUAUGUGAAUCUCCCCUCUCUGUUAUUAUAAUUUCCUUAUCUCUCUCAUAUUUGGUAGGCCUUUCAAGGUAGCAAAAGUCUGAGAAUUUAAAAUUUGAAGCAAAUGAUAAGAUAAAAACAAGAACUGGUAAUCUGGUAAGACAUUCCUCUUUGUAAAUUUUGUAGCUUUACAGUUUUUGUGCUGAAGGAUCUCUGUUUAAACCCACUUGUUUGUGUUAAUAGAAUCACAGAAAAAGUAAUUUCAUAAUCUGAUUUUUGUUGAUCAAGAUUAUGGUGUCUGCGCACGAAGCCAUCUUCACUCCAACCAGAAGAACAUGAGUAUGAGUAUAUGAUUAUGGUUUUCUUUUUAAAGUCGAUAACGCCAGAGAGUGAAAUUAGCGAGAAAAUGUAGGAAGAGUUUAAGUACUUUCUUAGAUUUCACUCUUUUUACUCUUUUUUUGGGUUCUUUUAUUCUAUUACAUAUAUAUAUUUGUCUACGAUAUUAUCGGGAAAAAAAGAGACAUUUGAUAUCUUGGUGAAUAACAUUAAUGUUUUUGAACGAUUAUUAUUAUACAUUAUAGUACUAUGGAGUUUUUUCCUUGAUUAUUAUAUCAAUCAUGUAUCAUUUAGUGCUCUUUUUCUUUUUUCCUAUUUAUAAGAUUGUACUGCACCAAUAUUUUGAGUAUAUAUCAGUGCUUAAUUUUUCUUUGGUAUGUAAUAAGAAUAAAUAUUUUCCUUUUUUUUUACCCUUUAAGACUGAUUUUCCGCUGAUCAGUGUGUGCCGUUGGCAUCAUUGCUCUUCUUCUUACAUUGUUUAUCUUCUUAUCUUUUAAGGUAAAUUAAACUUGAAACAACACAAGUCGAGAAGAAAAGGGAGAAGUAAUAAAAAACUUAGCAGAAUCGAUGAGAGAAGUAAUCAUAGUACUGAAUUGAUGAGAGGAUUCCCUAAUGUUGUAUUAGUGGCUACUCCUUCUAGACACCUGUAGAAAAUUUCAAAAAUGCAGGUUAUUCUGUUUUUCUUGUGAGGUUUUGUUUUGAUAUUGUUGUAUUUACAUGAUAACUAUUGCAAUGAAGUUAGGUAUGUAUUAGGUCGUGUCAUUUGUUAGUAAUUUGAAGAAUAUGAGUAUUGCGAAUAGAAGUGUCAUCAGCUUAGUGCAAUAUAUCAGUUUUCUUUUGGUUUUUUCUCCUUAACUAAGCAAUUUCAGUUUUAUUUCUUGGGUUUUUGCUCGUAUCACC
rnacentral:lncRNA from 1 species